GUAGGUGAACCUGCGGAAGGAUCAUUAUCGAAUUAUAAGCGAGGGUUGUCGCUGGCCUUGAAAGAGGCAUGUGCACACCCGAGCUCUUAAAUCCACAACACACCUGUGAACCCACCGUAGGCCUUCGGGCUUAUGUAUCAUAUACUCUGAAUGUGUCGUAGAAUGUUCAUGUUGCCUUAAAACGCAAUCAAAUACAACUUUCAACAACGGAUCUCUUGGCUCUC
rnacentral:misc_RNA from 1 species